AGAGUUUGAUUCUGGCUCAGGACGAACGCUGGCGGCGCGUAUUAGACAUGCAAGUCGUACGAGAAAGCGGUCGCAAGACCGUGAGUAAAGUGGCGAACGGGUGAGUAACGCCUGGAUAAUCUCCCUUUCGGUCUGGAAUAACCUCGAGAAAUCGGGGCUAAUACCGGAUAAGCUCACGUCACCUAAUGGUGAUGCGGGAAAAGGUGGCCUCUAUUUAUAAGCUACCGCUGAAAGAUGAGUUCAGGUCCCAUUAGCUAGUUGGCAGGGUAAUGGCCUACCAAGGCGACGAUGGGUAACCGGCCUGAGAGGGUGACCGGUCACACUGGGACUGAGAUACGGCCCAGACUCCUACGGGAGGCAGCAGUUUGGAAUCUUUCGCAAUGGGCGCAAGCCUGACGAAGCGACGCCGCGUGGGUGAGGAAGGCCUUCGGGUUGUAAAGCCCUUUUUGACGGGACGAAAACGUACGGACCUAAUACGUCCGUGCCUUGACUGUACCGUCAGAAAAAGCCACGGCUAACUCUGUGCCAGCAGCCGCGGUUAUACAGAGGUGGCAAGCGUUGUUCGGAAUUACUGGGCGUAAAGGGCGAGUAGGCGGUCGGGUAAGUCUGGUGUGAAAGCCCACGGCUUAAUCGUGGAAGUGCACCUGAUACUGCCCGGCUAGAGUACGAUAGAGGAGAGCGGAACUCUUAAUGUAGUGGUGGAAUGUGUAGAUAUUAAGAGGAAUAUUGGUGGUGAAGGUGGCUCUCUGGAUCGAUACUGACGCUGAGGAGCGAAAGCUAGGGGAGUAAACGGGAUUAGAUAUCCCGGUAGUCCUAGCCGUAAACGAUGGGUACUAGGUGUGGGAGGUAUAGAUUCCUUCUGUGCCGAAGCUAAUGUAUUAAGUACCCCGCCUGGGGAGUACGGUUGCAAGGCUGAAACUCAAUGAAAUUGACGGGGGCCCGCACAAGCGGUGGAGAAUGUUGCUCAAUUCGAUGCAACGCGAAGAACCUUACCAGGGUUUGACAUCCUUUCGACCGCCCAUGAAAGUGGGCUUUCCUUACGGACGGGAGGACAGGUACUGCAUGGCUGUCGUCAGCUCGUGUUGUGAGAUGUUGGGUUAAGUCCCGCAACGAGCGCAACCCCUGUUUCCAGUUGCCAGUGGUUUGGUUGGGCACUCUGGAGAGACUGCCGGUAAUAAGCCGGAGGAAGGCGGGGACGACGUCAAGUCCUCAUUGUCUUUAUAUCCUGGGCCGCAAACGUUCUACAAUGGCCGGUACAAAGAGUCGCGAUACCGUGAGGUGGAGCUAAUCUCUAAAAGCUGGCCUCAGUUCGGAUUGGAGGCUGUAAUUUGCCUCCAUGAAGCUGGAAUCGCUAGUAUCGCGGAUUAGCAUGCCGCGGUGAAUACGUUCCCGGGCCUUGUACACACCGCCCGUCAAUUCACUAAAGCUGAUUGUACCCGAAGUCACCAAGUUAAUUGUAAGGAGAUAGGUGCCGAAGGUAUGAUUAGUGAUUGGGAAUAAGUCGUAAUAAGGUA
rnacentral:rRNA from 1 species